rnacentral:rRNA from 1 species
GGGUGAUGGCGUGCCUUUUGUAGAAUGAACCGGCGAGUUACGAUCCCGUGCGAGGUUAAGCUGAAGAGGCGGAGCCGCAGCGAAAGCGAGUCUGAAUAGGGCGUUUAGUACGUGGUCGUAGACCCGAAACCAGGUGAUCUACCCAUGUCCAGGGUGAAGUUCAGGUAACACUGAAUGGAGGCCCGAACCCACGCACGUUGAAAAGUGCGGGGAUGAGGUGUGGGUAGCGGAGAAAUUCCAAUCGAACCUGGAGAUAGCUGGUUCUCCCCGAAAUAGCUUUAGGGCUAGCCUUAAGUGUAAGAGUCUUGGAGGUAGAGCACUGAUUGGACUAGGGGUCCUCAUCGGAUUACCGAAUUCAGUCAAACUCCGAAUGCCAAUGACUUAUCCUUAGGAGUCAGACUGCGAGUGAUAAGAUCCGUAGUCAAAAGGGAAACAGCCCAGACCGCCAGCUAAGGUCCCAAAGUGUGUAUUAAGUGGAAAAGGAUGUGGAGUUGCUUAGACAACUAGGAUGUUGGCUUAGAAGCAGCCACCAUUUAAAGAGUGCGUAAUAGCUCACUAGUCGAGUGACUCUGCGCCGAAAAUGUACCGGGGCUAAAUACACCACCGAAGCUGCGGAUUGAUACCAAUGGUAUCAGUGGUAGGGGAGCGUUCUAAGGACAGUGAAGUCAGACCGGAAGGACUGGUGGAGUGCUUAGAAGUGAGAAUGCCGGUAUGAGUAGCGAAAGACGGGUGAGAAUCCCGUCCACCGAAUGCCUAAGGUUUCCUGAGGAAGGCUCGUCCGCUCAGGGUUAGUCAGGACCUAAGCCGAGGCCGACAGGCGUAGGCGAUGGACAACAGGUUGAUAUUCCUGUACCACCUCUUUAUCGUUUGAGCAAUGGAGGGACGCAGAAGGAUAGAAGAAGCGUGCGAUUGGUUGUGCACGUCCAAGCAGUUAGGCUGAUAAGUAGGCAAAUCCGCUUAUCGUAAAGGCUGAGCUGUGAUGGGGAAGCUCCUUAUGGAGCGAAGUCUUUGAUUCCCCGCUGCCAAGAAAAGCUUCUAGCGAGAUAAAAGGUGCCUGUACCGCAAACCGACACAGGUAGGCGAGGAGAGAAUCCUAAGGUGUGCGAGAGAACUCUGGUUAAGGAACUCGGCAAAAUGACCCCGUAACUUCGGGAGAAGGGGUGCUUUCUUAACGGAAAGCCGCAGUGAAUAGGCCCAAGCGACUGUUUAGCAAAAACACAGCUCUCUGCGAAGCCGUAAGGCGAAGUAUAGGGGGUGACACCUGCCCGGUGCUGGAAGGUUAAGGAGAGGGGUUAGCGUAAGCGAAGCUCUGAACUGAAGCCCCAGUAAACGGCGGCCGUAACUAUAACGGUCCUAAGGUAGCGAAAUUCCUUGUCGGGUAAGUUCCGACCCGCACGAAAGGUGUAACGAUUUGGGCACUGUCUCAACCAGAGACUCGGUGAAAUUAUAGUACCUGUGAAGAUGCAGGUUACCCGCGACAGGACGGAAAGACCCCGUGGAGCUUUACUGUAGCCUGAUAUUGAAUUUUGGUACAGUUUGUACAGGAUAGGCGGGAGCCAUUGAAACCGGAGCGCUAGCUUCGGUGGAGGCGCUGGUGGGAUACCGCCCUGACUGUAUUGAAAUUCUAACCUACGGGUCUUAUCGACCCGGGAGACAGUGUCAGGUGGGCAGUUUGACUGGGGCGGUCGCCUCCUAAAGUGUAACGGAGGCGCCCAAAGGUUCCCUCAGAAUGGUUGGAAAUCAUUCGUAGAGUGCAAAGGCAUAAGGGAGCUUGACUGCGAGACCUACAAGUCGAGCAGGGACGAAAGUCGGGCUUAGUGAUCCGGUGGUUCCGCAUGGAAGGGCCAUCGCUCAACGGAUAAAAGCUACCCCGGGGAUAACAGGCUUAUCUCCCCCAAGAGUCCACAUCGACGGGGAGGUUUGGCACCUCGAUGUCGGCUCAUCGCAUCCUGGGGCUGUAGUCGGUCCCAAGGGUUGGGCUGUUCGCCCAUUAAAGCGGUACGCGAGCUGGGUUCAGAACGUCGUGAGACAGUUCGGUCCCUAUCCGUCGUGGGCGUAGGAAAUUUGAGAGGAGCUGUCCUUAGUACGAGAGGACCGGGAUGGACGCACCGCUGGUGUACCAGUUGUUCUGCCAAGGGCAUAGCUGGGUAGCUAUGUGCGGAAGGGAUAAGUGCUGAAAGCAUCUAAGCAUGAAGCCCCCCUCAAGAUGAGAUUUCCCAUAGCGUAAGCUAGUAAGAUCCCUGAAAGAUGAUCAGGUUGAUAGGUUCGAGGUGGAAGCAUGGUGACAUGUGGAGCUGACGAAUACUAAUAGAUCGAGGACUUAACCAU